rnacentral:lncRNA from 1 species
GUCUCUUAGAAAAUUUCUCUUCAAUAGGCCAAAGUGACUGAACCUUAAACAAUUCAUCUGAAAAAGGACUUGCCAAGAUUCUAGCAUUUUAAAAUAAAAUCUAAUUCACUAUCAUAAUUUUUCCAUAUUUUAAAAUGGUACUCUCUGUCACUAUGAAUAAACAUGCAGGGUUAAAAUGAUCUAUGAGAACUCACUCAUGAAUCUGCAUAUAUAUUCUUGGUGGUUUAAGAGAUAUUUUUAUAAGUGUUACAUUUUUAUGUAUGUUUAUUUUAAUCACAGUCUAAAAAGUGACUAUUCAAUAACAUUUGGAUGACUUUUUAACAACCAAACAUCCCAUGUUAACCUAGUGUUUCUAUUUAUACUUAGGACAACAUGAGAGCCAAGCAGUUCUGUUUUGAUUGUUAAAAGCAACUGAACAGAGGCAGCAGAUGAUGCAUUUGGGUUCUGGCCUCAGGAUUCAGAGACUGCUCUGCUGUGAGGAGUCCUUCUGCACUGCCAGAUUUUUUUCACCCUUUUUUUCCCGGGUGCAAGACCAGCCACCUCCUUCUACACUCUUUUCUUCCCUACUCUCCCGAGACUCAGAUUCCAUCAAUUAAAAACCCAUUUAGUUAAUGUUCCCUCUUAUCUUUCCUUUCUUUUUUUUUCUUUUAUUUUCUUACUGAAUUAAGUUAUUGCUAUAUUUAUUGUAAUGUUUCAAGGGUCAGAUCAUCCAUUGCCUCAAACCCACUGAUAUCCCAGACACCAGAAAACAGUACCCACCUCUCACCAAAAGAUACUAAAGCAUGCUGUUCUUCAGAGAAAAGACUCAGCCUAACUAAUUUCUCUAGAUCCGAUACUACUGUGCAUAGCUGGUGGGAAAUACUUGUUAACUGAGUGUUUACAUGACUGAUGACUAAAUAAAAGUACAUGAGUGGGAAACAGAUAGAUGCUACCUUAAGGCCCUCAGGAGUGAGGUGGAAGUUGGACAGAUAAGAAAAUAUGCUGAUUAAAUAUGAGGAAACAUAAGAAUAAACGUCUCUGGAACAUAAGGUGUUGAGUGAACAGAAGGUCGCUACCUAUAGAAUUGUGCAGGACCUCAGGUGUUUUCAGGAAGUGUGGGUACAUACGGAUGUGUGCACAAACCUACCUAUGGAUUACCCUGUACAUGAUAUAAAAUAAAUGAGUAUACAAAGGCCCCCCUGAUAAAAUGAGAAGAGACAGACUGCAAAAUGUGGUUUAGAUGAAUUGAAUUAUAUUGAUCGCAGCCACUUAAGCAUCCAGUAAUCCUGAAGCACAAUAUCAUUUAUGUAAGUUAGCGAUUUUAUUACAACUGACAGAAUGCCAAAUUAAAUUCAGGAAUAUAUGAUUUUUAUUAUAUAGGUAGCACAGUUUUGGGCUACACAUUUUUAAAUCUAUGUGGAUAAAACUAUUGAUAAAUUUCACAUACCACGGUGCCUGACACCUGGUAAAUCUAUUUAUUAUUAAGUGAAGUUGUAAGCAAUCAGCAGAAAUCUUUGUGGAAUUUUUAGUAUCAGUGAAUUAAUUACACGUUCCCUUGUAUCCCUUACAAAAUCACUUUGGAAACAUUUAU